GCCAGGCAGUGUCAGAGCUUUUCUGUCAUGGGGCAUGCACGUGGGUGGGUGCAGCGGUGCUGCUCAACACUGUGGUGUCAGGACGGCCCCACCCAGAGGACGAUCUGGGCCCCAGGGGGACCCUGGAGUAGAGCGGGCCUCAGGGUAGCUGCUAAGGCCCAGGAGGUAGGCAGGUGGGUCGGGCCAGCCGAGACGCUGACACUCGCUGCAGCUUUGCAGUUCUCCUGGAGUUCGCUGAGGAGCAGCUGCGAGCCGACCAUGUCUUCAUUUGCUUCCACAAGAACCGCGAGGACAGAGCCGCCUUGCUCCGAACCUUCAGCUUUUUGGGCUUUGAGAUUGUGAGACCGGGGCAUCCCCUUGUCCCCAAGAGACCCGACGCUUGCUUCAUGGCCUACACGUUCGAGAGAGAGUCUUCGGGAGAGGAGGAGGAGUAGGGCCGCCUCGGGGCUGGGCAUCCGGCCCCUGGGGCCACCCCUUGUCAGCCGGGUGGGUAGGAACCGUAGACUCGCUCAUCUCGCCUGGGUUUGUCCGCAUGUUGUAAUCGUGCAAAUAAACGCUCACUCCGAAUUAGCGGUGUAUUUCUUGAAGUUUAAUAUUGUGUUUGUGAUACUGAAGUAUUUGCUUUAAUUCUAAAUAAAAAUUUAUAUUUUACUUUUU
rnacentral:lncRNA from 1 species